UACGGAGGGUGCAAGCGUUAUCCGGAUUCACUGGGUUUAAAGGGUGCGUAGGUGGGUUGAUAAGUCAGUGGUGAAAUCCCCGAGCUUAACUUGGGAACUGCCAUUGAUACUAUUGAUCUUGAAUACCGUGGAGGUCAGCGGAAUAUGUCAUGUAGCGGUGAAAUGCUUAGAUAUGACAUAGAACACCAAUUGCGAAGGCAGCUGGCUACGCGAAUAUUGACACUUGAUGCACGAAAGCGUGGGGAUCAAACAGG
rnacentral:rRNA from 1 species